UGCACAAAUUCCUUCAAUGAUAUAUAUUAACUUGUAGUACGCCGUAGUACAUACAGCCCCUAGCCAUGAUAUUUAGAGUAAAUAUUAAAAUUUUUGAACGAAAAUUCAAAAAACGUUGCGUCACAUUUCCGAACGGCGCGUCUCCGUCACGCCGUUCGGCGCUACCAACUUCAUUGUCGUUUUCAUGCAGCCGACGGCCAUUACGCGUCAUCUAAUUUUAAAGUGUUUUCUGCGUAUAAAAGUGGAAAAAAUGCGAAUUAUAAUGUAUCGAAGAAAAUUAGACAGUGUGGAAAGUAAUCUGUUUGAUAAAUUAGGCGAGAAAAUAAGAAGAGUAGGAGAGGAAGAUAGAAGAAAGCCGAUCAACGCGGGCGUCCCUCGCCGCCAUGAUCGCGGGCAUUGCGGACUUUAUUGUUUGCGUUAUCUUACAAGAUCCAAACCGCGCCCUAGGUUUGCCUUAUAUUCGAGAUCACCAUCUCUGCCUGCGGCGUCGAGAAGUAGUAACAGGUCUCCAUUGGUUGUCAUUGAGAUUCUGACGACCUCCAUAAUGAAGCACAAAUGCAAUUGAAGAUCUAAGCGAUGAAGUCUUAACCUCUCGGUGAGGCACUUGAGCAGGUUGUUUUUUGGCAAAAACCUUUUUUCCAGCUUACAAAGAGAUAAAUAAAGAAAAGAAAGGACAAGUCAACUAAGAAACAUCCUGCUCCAGAAGUUACAAAGUAUAAAGCCAUAGAACAGAAAUAAUCUGAAGUCUCAAGCGCAUUAUUUGCCACUGGCUUGGCCCUCAUAACAUUUGCUGAAUGAAUUGGUCAUCUUUUGUGAGACGCAGGGAGUUACAACUUAAAAGGAUGUUUAUAACGUCGGGUCUUUACAAUAAAAUUGUAUGUGGGACCUUAAAAUAUUGUGAUGUUGACUAGUGUUUUUAGAGAAAACAUAGCUAAAAAGUUUUUAAAUGCCAUUGAAUAAUCUAGGGAAGAUCUGAAGAGACCUAAGAAGAUAUAACCUAGUAGAAGAUACAAAUUCAAGGGCCCAACCAAUAACACAGAGACAUACCCAGAGCCCAAGGUCAGAAGCUGUACCACAGGAAACCAUAACAACACCACCUCUUCUGCCAAGCCACAUCAUCAGCGGAGGUGUCGCACUCAGCAAUAUUACUAUUACAAUAGCUGUUAAAUGAUCAGCAACCAGCAGUUUCAGCGACGUGUUAUCCUGUUUGCCGCGGGGCUCUCCGGGCAGCGCUGGCGCUGAAGGGGGCGGCGGUGACGUCAUGCUGCAGUCCCUCGCGCCCAACACCGUCAAGCAGUAUCACACGUACUUGACACGCUGGUAUUAAUAUA